UACGUAGGUGGCAAGCGUUAUCCGGAAUUAUUGGGCGUAAAGGGCUCGUAGGUGGCCAACUAAGUCAGACGUGAAAUCCCUCGGCUUAACCGGGGAACUGCGUCUGAUACUGGAUGGCUUGAGUUUGGGAGAGGGAUGCGGAAUUCCAGGUGUAGCGGUGAAAUGCGUAGAUAUCUGGAGGAACACCGGUGGCGAAGGCGGCAUCCUGGACCAACACUGACACUGAGGAGCGAAAGCCAGGGGAGCAAACGGG
rnacentral:rRNA from 1 species